rnacentral:rRNA from 1 species
UGCUAAAGAAAUAAAAACGCCGACGACCACAUGGUGCCAGCCAAGUCAGGAUAGCAGGAGAGGAGAACUCGGGCACGAAUGCCGCGGAAACCAAUUGAUUAGAGGGGGAACAUGAGUCACAGGACCGAAGAGAAGGACAAGAGAACAUGAUCACCAAGCAUAUUUUAAGGCGAAAAAUUCAAGCCUGGUGAUGGUGAUUCACGCAUGCUCGCCGCAUCACCGCAGGCAGCCGGGAAUUCUUUAUCUCAUCGGCUGGUAGCUGGUUUGACUGCAAAACCCGAAUCAUAAACAAAAUUAGCACGCAAAACCAGGCUUGUCCGCACAUGGAUGCUCCUACUUAGCUGGUGGCUGCCGAGAGCGAGGCGGAGGCCCUCCCUGGUCACUCUCUCCCGGAUCUCUCGUGCCAUGUCAGGCGGCGGCUGGCGGCCGUGGGCGGAGCGGUACAAGCCGUGCGUGGCCAUGGUGCUGGUGCAGCUCUUCUACUCGCUGGUGGACAUGGCGCUCAAGACGGCCUACGGGCUCGGCAUGCGCCCCAUCGUCUUCGUCGCCUACCGCCAGGGCAUCGCCGCCGCCGCGCUCCUCCUCGCCUCGCUCGCCACCAGGGGGCUCACGCUGCGCCCCAUGGCCGUCGGCUCCCGGGCCUUCGCCCUCCUCUUCCUCGCCUCCCUCGCCAGCGCGACGGGGCAGUACUUCUACUUCAUGGGGCUGCAGCUGGCGUCGCCGUCCAUGGCUCGGGCGACCACCAACCUCGCCCCCGGCAUCACCUUCGCCAUCGCCGCCGUCAUCGGGUUGGAGAAGGUGGACUUGAGGAGCUCAAGAAGCAUCGCCAAGAUCGUCGGAACCGUCGUCUGCCUCGCCGGAGCAAUGCUCAUGGCGUUCUUCAAGGGCCCAAAGCUUCUCGGCGCCCUCCUCCUGCCGGCGACCGAUGACUGGGUGAGAGGCGGCAUCUACCUCAUGGGGAACGCCUUCUGUUUCUCCAUCUGGUACAUCUUGCAGGUACCGGUCUGUAAAUCCUACCUUGAUCCACUAUCCUUGGCAACCUGGAUGUGCUUCCUAGCGACCUUGCAAUGCGCGGUGAUGGCCUUCUUCCUAGAAGCAAACUACAUUGAGAUCUGGAAGCUUGCUUCUAUUUGGGAGCUCCCCUGCAUCUUAUACGGAGGCGUUUUCGCAUCGGGUGCAAACUUUUUUAUGCAAUCUUGGUGCAUAUCAGUGAAAGGCCCACUUUACAGCGCAAUUUUUACACCGCUGAGCGCGGUCAUCACAACAAUAUUGUCUACGCUCUUCCUUCACGAGGAACUGCACAUUGGGAGCGUGUUGGGUGCUAUUGUGAUCAUCCUAGGCCUGUAUGUUGUGCUGUGGGGUAAAGCUGAUGACGCAAGCAGCGAGGGGCUGGCCAUCCACUCUAAUGAUUCUGAAAGCAUUUUAGAGCAAGAUUGUAUGGGUGUAAAAGUAGAAAGUGGGAUCAAUCUUUCAGAACCAUUGUUAUCAUCUGAAAACGCGGACGCUGAUGCUUCGAGACGCCAGUGAUAUUGCAGUUUUUCAGACACAGCCUCCAGCCUUUGAGUUAUAAUGAUCCCUUUUUCUGAUACUUCUUCCACUGCCUGCUUGUUGCCAAAAUAUGUGUAUAUAUAUUUUUUUCAUUGGAUAGUUCUUGGCCAAUGGGCAAUGGCCAUGCUAAAUUAUCAAACACGCAGUCUGGCUGUCUGCACAAUGCUUAAUGUGCCGAUCAUAUAUUUGACCCAGCCAGUCAGGAACCCAUCACUGUCCGGCAUUAUGAGGAUUAAUCAGGGAAGAUGGAAGAUAUUGGAAGAUGCCAAUUGGCAAGGACUGAGACCUAUAUAUGUUAAGAAUGACUACUAGUCUAACAAGAGAGUCACACACAAGGGACGACAAGAAGGCGAUGCCUAGCUACAACUAUUCUUGCAAGUGAAAGUGAAACAAAGAUGAUAUCUCUUCAUUGUUUACUCAUGACAGUGUUACCUAAGCUCUUCCUUCAUGAAGAACUCCAUACUGGGAGCGUAUUAGGCGCUAUCACCAUCGGCCUCUAUGUAGUCCUGUGGGGUACAGAAGACGAUGGAGAGAGUGAGAGCAUGGUGGAGGAGAACAGGCCCGACCCUCGCGUCGCCCACACCGGGCGACUCGAGGGGAACCCCAGCCGCCACCGACCGCCGCCCCUCCUCCCGGCCACCCCCGCGUCGCCGCCGCCGGAGGGCCGGCCGACGAAGCCGCGCCGGACCCAGGGAUGGCGGCGGCGAGGCCGUUCUUCCCCCAUCCCGCUUCACCCCACGCCCUUUCCCUCCACAGCUCCUCCAGAUCUGUCCCCUGGCGGCUCCAGCGGCUUCCACCGGCGCCGUGAGCGGCCUCCCCCGGCGGUGUCUUCCCCGCCCGCUGCUGGUGUGGUGGGUCUCCCUCCGGAUGCGGCUCCUCCUGCUGCACUGGUCCCGUCUGCCCCAUUUGGAUCUGGGGCCCAGCCGGUUGUGGUGCUCCCCAGCCCGCUUGCCGUGGCGGCCGGGCACGCCCUCCUUGCUGCGUCCACCCCUCCCCCGACCCCCGCCACUCGUCCCUCUGCCGUCGCGGGUUUCCUGGUGGUCGCGCUUCAGCACCAGAUCUGCGGGUUCAGGUGGCCUUGUCGGCCGGCUCCCCGUGCUCUCUCGUUGCGGCCUCGCGCUGGCCGUGGUGCACCUCAGCCUCUCCUUGUUGGGCGCGGCGCCCCGGCGUGUUGCUGCUUCUUUGGCCCUCCGUAGCUCGCUUCGCAGCUCAUGGCUGCCUAGAUUGUUGGGCUACGGCGGUGGUUGGCCGACUUGCUCCGGUUGCGAGGUGGAGGAGGCACUGCCGGGUGAAAACUUCAUCGACGAUGACGGCUGCAGCCGCCAUUUUUCCUUCUUGAAGGCGUCGAGUUUGGCAUUGUUUCCCUCCCCCCCAAGCACUCAGAUCCCGAGAGAAAUCUCGGACCCGGGGUUCCCCGUGUCGGAUGGUGUCGACGUCUCUACGCCGUUUCCUCCUUGGGGGCAUCUUCUUGGAUUUCUUCUGCUUCGGGUGGACUCGCCUCUUGCUGCUUCCUCUCCACCUCGGCUUCGAUCCCUGGCUGGCCAUUGUCCUUGGCGACUCGAGUGGAGCUUGCUUGGACAUCCUGGGGUGGCCUCGACGACGCGCUGCCCUUCGACCUCGGCGGCAGUACACCGGUACUGCGCCCUUCGGUCUCGGUGGCGUGUUGCCUUCUCGGCUUCGCUGGCGGCACACCGGUGUCGCCACUCGAACUCGGCUAUUCGACGCUCUUCGUUCGCGCCAGUGAUGCUUCUCGAUAUGCUUCUACUUCGGUGUCUCCUUUCUAUCAGGGAUGUGCUUCAUGGUGG